CUCCCCGCCCUCCUCUCAAUUUCUCCCCCUCUUCUUUUCUGGUACAACACAUUCUGUAUUAAAUUAUGACUGAAUACAAGCUUGUAAUUGUCGGUGGUGGUGGUGUUGGCAAGAGUGCCUUGACUAUUCAACUCAUCCAGAACCAUUUCGUAUGAUUCCUCCCCCAUUCUCACGUUAAUCUUGGUCUCGUGUUCAUAUUGAUUUGUUUAGAUUGACGAGUAUGACCCCACCAUUGAGGACUCUUACGUAUCAACAUGCAUUUCCAAUUUGAAACUUUCUGAAAUUAUUGUUACAUACCAUUUUCUUUGAUUCUGUUAAGCGCAAGCAAGUGACCAUUGAUGAGGAGACAUGCUUGCUUGACAUUCUUGGUAUGUUUAUUAUGCAUUGAUGGGAGUGAUUCAGUACACUGACUGAAUGAUGAAGACACUGCCGGUCAAGAAGAGUACAGCGCCAUGAGAGAUCAAUACAUGCGUACUGGCCAGGGUUUCUUGUGUGUCUACUCCAUCACAUCCCGUAGCAGUUUUGAUGAAAUUGCUUCCUUCAGAGAGCAAAUCCUCCGUGUGAAGGACAAGGACAAGGUUCCCAUGAUUGGUAUGCCCCCCCCCCCCCCCCCCUCCCCCUCCCCCUUCAUGCCCUCUCCCUCUUUCCCCAAUUUUCUUCUUGUAACCCCUCAAUUAAUUGACCUCUUAACACCCUUCCUCCUUCCUUAAUCGCGCUUCACUUUCGUUUCUUACUCGUUUCUAGUUGUUGGAAACAAAUGUGACUUGGAGGGCGAGAGACAAGUUACUACUGGUGAGGGUCAAGACCUCGCAAGGUAAAUUCCUCCUCACUUUAAUUUCAUCCCCCCCGUCUCUUUCCCCUCUCCUCUCCCCUUUCCCUCCUCACUCCACCCUCACUCCCUCACUCGCUGCCCUCUCAGACCCUCCUCUCACUGCCCUCCCACACCCCACUAACAGUCCAGCAUUCUCCACUCCCACUCCUCUCUCACUCCACUCUCACACAUUCCUAUUACUCUCACACACCCCACAUUCCCCCCCCCCCCACCCCCUUUCUUCCUCUCCCUUUCUCCUCCUUUCUCCUCUCUUUCCCCCUCCCCCCCCCCUUUUUUCUCUCCCCCUCUCUCCUUCUUUUCUCCUCUUGUUGCUCAAUCGCUAAAACACAAGCAGGUCCUUCGGAUGCCCCUUCAUGGAGACAUCCGCCAAGAGCAGAGUGAACGUUGAGGAGUCGUUCUACCAGUUAGUGCGCGAGAUCCGCAAGGACUCCCGCACCGAUACCAAGGGCCCCGGCGGAAAGGGUGGCAAGAAGACACUCAAGUGCCUCCUCCUGUAAAUGGUAAUAUGCUUGUACCUGUCUUGUCUGUGUUGUAUUCGUUAGCUAUUGAAAAAAAAUUGAAAAAUAAAUGUGUAUUUUUGUA
rnacentral:misc_RNA from 1 species